UACGGCGGGUGCAAGCGUUAAUCGGAAUUACUGGGCGUAAAGCGCACGUAGGCGGACUCUUAAGUCAGAUGUGAAAGCCCCGGGCUUAACCUGGGAAAGCCAUCUGAUACUGAGAGACUAGAGUAUGAUAGAGGGUAGUGGAAUUUCCGGUGUAGCGGUGAAAUGCGUAGAUAUCGGAAGGAACAUCAAUGGCGAAGGCAGCUGCCUGGGUCAAUACUGACGCUGAGGUGCGAAAGCGUGGGGAGCAAACAGG
rnacentral:rRNA from 1 species